UCCAGGGUAGCCUAGUGGACAUGGCAUCUGCCCGGUAAGCGGAACGUUGUGGGUUCGAUUCCCGCCCUUGGAC
rnacentral:tRNA from 1 species